rnacentral:rRNA from 1 species
UACGUAGGGUGCAAGCGUUGUCCGGAAUUAUUGGGCGUAAAGAGCUCGUAGGCGGUUUGUCGCGUCGAAUGUGAAAACCCGGGGCUCAACUCCGGGCCUGCAUUCGAUACGGGCAGACUAGAGUUCGGUAGGGGAGACUGGAAUUCCUGGUGUAGCGGUGAAAUGCGCAGAUAUCAGGAGGAACACCGGUGGCGAAGGCGGGUCUCUGGGCCGAUACUGACGCUGAGGCGCGAAAGCGUGGGGAGCAAACAGG